AAAGCAGCCAUGAUAGGGGAAGCAAAGGAAGAGGAGGAAGAGGGAAGGGUACCUGUAGCUUUAGAACCAACCAAUAUACCAGGGAGGCUUCUGCUGGGUCGCCAUGCACUAUGAGGCAGAGAACGGGAUGCAGCCAAGGAUGACUUGCCGGCUCCUGGAAUUUGGGCGUCUCAUCAGCUUUACUGAGGCUUAGAGAGUUAGCCGGCAAGUCUGUCCUUGGCUACACCUAGUUCUCUUCCUCUCGUGUGUGGCCCUCAAGCACUUCAAGAGCUCCAAGAUUUGCAUUCAUGUCAGCUCGACUAAGGAAUUAUAAGGACAAGUAUAUAUAACUACUUAAUUGUGUCGCCUCAUGAUGCAAACCAAAAGGCCAAGGGAAGUACAACAGACACUACACAUCAGGACUCAAGGUUCCCGCUCAGCAGCAACAAAUGUACUUAAAAUUGUGCUAGCACUAGUAUGCAGAAGAAAACAUGUUGUUAUGAGCGUGGUGGAAUUGAGAGGAUUGUGGAGGAAGAAGGGGUGGUUGCUGCCGCGCUACAGUACCCGCGGGCUACAGGACCGCGCGGGUACUGUUCACGAGGCGGCGGCUGCGAGGGUGAGAGAGCGGCGUCUAGGGUUGGGGUUGCUGGGAACGCCGGCCGCGGGGCUUCGCCCACGGCCGGCAAGAGAGAAGAGAUUUCCUUCUAAUCUCUUGCUUGAUUAGAUUGAUACAUCUCCUCUCCUUA